rnacentral:sRNA from 1 species
UUUUGAGACAGGGUCUUGCUCUGCCGCCCAGGCUGGAGUGGCAUAUUUGGCCUACAUGGCAAAUGUAAAGUAUCUUGGAGAAUGUUCUAAUGUUCUGAAAACCAGAGAUCUCCGCUGUAUGUGUCCUGCUGAGAACCCUGGCUGCAGAGACCAGCCCUUUACCAUCUUGUACCGGGACAUGGACGUGGUGUCAGGACGCUCCGUUCCCGCUGACAUCUUCCAAAUGCAAGCCACGACCCGCUACCCUGGGGCCUAUUACAUUUUCCAGAUCAAAUCUGGGAAUGAGGGCAGAGAAUUUUACAUGCGGCAAACGGGCCCCAUCAGUGCCACCCUGGUGAUGACACGCCCCAUCAAAGGGCCCCGGGAAAUCCAGCUUGACUUGGAAAUGAUCACUGUCAACACUGUCAUCAACUUCAGAGGCAGCUCCGUGAUCCGACUGCGGAUAUAUGUGUCGCAGUACCCAUUC